GACGAACGUUGGCGGCGUGCUUAAUACAUGCAAGUCAACUGAAGCAGUGGUAGCAAUAUCGCUGUGGAGGUGGCGCACGGGUGAGUAACACGUAGGUAAUCUGCCUUCAGGUCUGGCAUAACUCCGGGAAACCGGGGCUAAUAGCAGAUGAUGCAGCGGCUCGACAUCGAGACAGUUGUUAAAGCUAUGGCGCCUGAAGAUGAGCCUGCGUCUGAUUAGCUAGUUGGCGGGGUAACGGCCCACCAAGGCAACGAUCAGUAGCUGGUCUGAGAGGAUGAUCAGCCACACUGGAACUGAGACACGGUCCAGACUCCUACGGGAGGCAGAAGUAAGGAAUAUUGCUCAAUGGGAGAAAUACUGAAGCAGCAACGCCGCGUGAGGGACGAAGGGCUUUUGCUUGUAAACCUCUGUAGUGAGAGAAAAAAAUCCCAAUCUUUGGGACAUGAUGGUAUCUCAAAAGUAAGCCCCGGCUAACUACGUG
rnacentral:rRNA from 1 species